AUCCUUGUGCACGGGCAAGAUCGGUAGCAGUGAAGACUAGUCUGAGCUCUGAUUUUUGCUAGUUGAAAACUACAACUAAAUUGACGCUCCCGGUCCGCCCUGGGCGGAUCGGUGAAUUUUUGGAAUUUAUUGCGAUGU
rnacentral:snRNA from 1 species